UGUGAGUAAGGGGACAGUGGUUGUGCUGU
rnacentral:piRNA from 1 species